CACGUAGGGCGCAAGCGUUGUCCGGAAUUAUUGGGCGUAAAGAGCUCGUAGGCGGUUUGUCGCGUCUGCUGUGAAAACUGGAGGCUCAACCUCCAGCCUGCAGUGGGUACGGGCAGGCUAGAGUUCGGCAGGGGGAGACUGGAAUUCCUGGUGUAGCGGUGAAAUGCGCAGAUAUCAGGAGGAACACCGGUGGCGAAGGCGGGUCUCUGGGCCGAUACUGACACUGAGGAGCGAAAGCGUGGGGGAGCGAACAGG
rnacentral:rRNA from 1 species